ensembl:lincRNA
GGAGAGGUUGUGGGCACUGUGUGUAAGUGUGUAGAGUUAAGGUGGGCGGGUGUCUGUGGUCCAUGGACAGUAGUCUUGUGGGGGCUUCGAUGUGAUUCAGAUGAUGUGAUUCGCUUAGCAGGCACGUGACGCUUGAUCGUAGCAUGAGUGCGCAUGUACGUCCAUACGUCAUAUUGAGGGUGGUGGGAAGGGAUGAGAACACAGGACGAGGAUGCUGAGCUGAGAAGACCUUGUGUUGUGCACGUCUCCUUGAUAAUGCCUCCAUUCCUGCCUAGAUAUUGAUAGCUGAUGGAAGAGGAACGAACCUAACGGACAAAGCACGAAGCGAAACGGUUUCAUUCAUUACUCGUUCGCAUCUUGAAUUGCGGGGACCAUGGCUUGGCCGUGCAUUAACCGUGCAUGCUGUGCCGCACGUUGCUGGAGCCAGAUCGACAUUGACGACAUCACCAUCCCGUUAACACUCGCCUCGUACUCGGUUCUCGUGGAGCAGCGAACCCAGACUCACACCGAGACGAUUGUUGCGGACGCACCACGCACACCCAUCGCCAUCGAGCCGCUGGUCGAGCCUCAACAGGCUCCAGAGGUUCAUCAAGAACCAAUUCCCACGGCUGCUGAGAGCGCGUCAGUCACGAGGAGUGACUUCCCUGCGUGGAAUGUUCCCCGGGAACGAAGCUGCAAACCACAUCGAGCCUACCAGCCGAGCCCUGAGCCCUUUGUCUCCGAGAGCCAGUAUCAGAAGGACUACCAGGCGUGGCCCCUGCAGCCCCGAGAGCGACCCUUGCGCUCUGGAAGCUCAGAGCCAAUGAGGCGGAGCGAGAUUCGUCCCGUUUCUGAUGUCUUCUCUGAAACGCCAGUGAAGAAGCGGCUGUUUAGGACACCCAAGCAUGAAGGCACCAAGCAUGGGCCAAGCGCCCAGCGAGGCACGGAUAGUACACGAAUGGCGGGUGGCCGGCCACCUAUUCAACGCCACGGCACAAAGAGAGAGCGAAAGGAAAGCAGCAGCAGAGGUGCGAAGAUGUCAGGGGGCCUACCAGACUCAAACAUCACUGGGAAGAUGGGACGACAUGACAACCAGAUAAGAAGAUCACAGGAACCUCACAGUCCACGAGAUGACACAAAAACUUCUGAGAAUCCCGUGAAGGCAAUCAGGGGCCGAGUAAAGGCUGUCUUGGCUGGAGAAAAUGGCACCAAGCCAAACACCCCUGUGUCUGAAGGCAGUGUUGGAUUGAAACUUGCUUCAGAAAGCUUAAAGCCUUCAGUGAAGGUUAGCAGCCCUCAAAGAGGGUCGAAUGAAGGAGGAAAAUAUGGGCUGCCUGGGGUAAAGAACAAUGAAGAGAAAGAAGAAGGUAUAACAGGAGUGCAACAGGGUAAACAGGGUGCAAAGGAUGCUUCCCUCGGCAAACCAGAUGUUCCAAGCCAUGAAAGUACAGAUAAGGUCGAAAUAAAAGGGCUGAGAGAUGGACAUGGAACUAUUGGAAAACAAGAGGCUGAUAAGAUUCAGGAACAGGGAAGUGGGGGAUCAAUGAAGCAUGAACCUGCGAAACCACAGCCCAUGACCACUGCUUUGCGUCCAAGGCCUACACAUCAACCGAUAAUUGAACCUGCUGCACCACCAUCCAUGCCUGCCUUUACAACAGCAGAUGUAGCUCCAUUAGCACCCCUUAAAUCUGGUAGCACAGGAAAAACUGGAGUGCCUGGACAAGCACCAAAUCCCGGCAGCACUCUUGCAGAAAAUCUCUCAUUUUGGACUGGAGCACCAUUCAAACAACCAGAUAACACAACUGGCCCCUCUAAAAGUGGAAGUGAUAACCCCAUAUUGAAUGACAACCCUGUGACCAUGAUUGGCAUUGAUCAAGGGGAAGGGACCAAACUAGAUUGCGGGGAACGAAAAGAUUUGGGGCAUGGAAUAAGAUUGCCAUUUGGUCCAGGGCCGAGAUUUGGUUCAGUUGGUGUUCCUUCUUCAGGGUCGGGGUCACAAAUGGGAAUGGGAGUUCAUUCAGUGCCUGGUGAAAGUAGAAUUUUGCAAUUGGGCUCAGGGAAAAGCUCUGGGUUGAAGUCAGAUAGUGAUUCUAAUUUGGGGCCAGGGAGCACACCAGCAAUGGUCUCAGGACUGGGAUCCGUCCUCAUGCCAGAAACGAAGCCAGAAUUCAAAUCAGAAUUAGGGCCAGGGACUGGAAAAGGUUUGGCAAUGGGAUCAGGGUUGACAUCAUCAAUGGAAUCGGGAAUCGGGAUAGGUUCUGGAACCGGACCUGGAUCUGGGUCGGGAAUCGUACCAGGACAGGAUUUGGGGAAAUCUGGGCGUGGUCCAGAAGUGCAAGCAUGGCUGGGCAGACACAUUAGUGGGUCAGAGCCAUCUUCUGCAUCACAGUCUUUAUUUGGCACCCAUGGCACAGCUCAGGGCAGUAGAAAUGAAGAGAGAGACCAGGAACACUGAUGUGUCACAUAACGUCUCAUAAUGUUCUGCAGAGCUGGCAUGAUGGCUGUAUGAUGGAGGAGGUUUAAUAAUGUGUGGCAUUAUCAAAUAAUAACAAUGACAUACCAUUCCAAGCAAUGAGUUUUUGCUUGCAGAUAAUGUGUGUUGUAAAUGUUGUUGAUGGCAAUUAAGGACUGUAAACACAUUAUGGCUUUUUCACUCCAAGAUUCACAGAUCAUUAAACCUCCACCAAACAUACCAUCUGUUAUUAAGCAUUUCUUAACUGUCCAGAGAUGUUUGGUUGCUCCAUAAAUCCAAAAUGUUAUUCCAAGCUUGUCGUGAAUGAAUGAGUAAAUGAGUAAUAAAUAUAUAUCACUGUAGAAGAAUGUUUCGAUCGCAGUAUUGCACCUCAGUUUGGUUUCCAAAGUGGUGUUCAAUGUUGGAGCACGUCCUGUUUUAGUGGGUUAUUUUAUUGGAGAUAGAAAUAAACUUUUCUUUUUUCAUGGAUUUGUUUGACCAACCUUUGUCAAAGUCAGGUGAUAUAAAAGAAGGUUCGGUUUAUCAUCCAUCACCUGAGCGAAUUUGCUUCCAGCAAUAACUUUUUAUGUAUGGAGCAUUUCAUUCUGGCCCGCACCUGGGAAUUGCUGCUCAGCAAAUAUUGGAGGAUAUCAAUGAUUAGCUUUUUAUAACCACAUGAAAUGCCUGCAUCUUUGGUAAAAUAAAAUAUUAAUAUCAAAUGCCACAAUUUAAAUUAGUGUUGCCAUAAAUCAUUUCCUUGUUGAAUUUUUUUUUAAUUUUUUUCAUAUGUUAAUAUAUCUUGCAUCUCAUCUGCCGCUCAUUCUCCAUUAUGUCAGAUUGUGGUGAAACUCCCUUUUCAUUGGAUGUCUUGGAUGAGCUGCCAUGGUAUUGCCGUGACUGGCGAUUCAACAAGGUGAACUGGCAUGGUUUAGGAUCUAUCUGUCUCUGUCUCUGUCUCUCUCUCUCUCUCAUCAAUUCACUCCUUCACAUCUCCAGCUUUGGUAUUGAACAUUUCACUUAUGGUGUACAGAAGCUUGUGAUGAGGCAAUAGAAAGGAAGCAUCUUUCCCACUUUACCUGGAAUUACAAGGCCCACAGUAGGUGUUAUCUCUCCUUGGAAGAGCAUGAAUACAAUGCUAAACUGAUCAUUGGAGAUCAAACUUUUCCAUUCUUUCUCCAUCUUCCAUGUCCUGUUGGUAACUGGUUAAAAGUGUACCAGGAACAUGCUCUUACUCAUUCCCUUUGCUCAUGAAGGAAUGAGUCACAAUGAAUAGAACUCGAGAUAAUGUGCAAUGCUUUAGUCAUGUCUUUGCUAAAGUGGCCUGGGUUUCCAAUUCCCCUUCUCCCCUCCCCUACCCCAGUCACCACUCUUUUCUGUUCCAUAUCUUCCCAUCCUCCCUCCUCUUCUCAAACUCUUUGACAUCAGAUGACCAAUUUGGGUUAGGUUCCAUCCUGACCAUGAAACUUUAGAUAAGCUCCAGCUAACUCAGGCAAUGGGUGGACUCUGGAAUUAAAUCAAGAGCUCAGAGCAGUCUCACUGGGAACCACUGCCAUCCAUGGUCAUCUCUUUGGCUCAUGCAUUUUCUUCUUAUUCACAAGCAAUGCAUUGCGAUUAGUAGUGUUCUUUCAUGUCUUUAGAGGCCAGUAUCCCUCAAGGCAGUAACGUGGGACCUGUCCUAGCUGUUACUCAUUCAUUACAUCAAUGAACUUUCAGCCUUUUUGGAAAAGCCUGUGUAACACUUUGUCGAUGAUAGCUAUUUGCCGGAAAGUCUCUCACAUGAAUUACAGGCUUCCACAUCCUUGUUUACCUAAUUUGAGAAAAUUCAAAACUGGUCACCCGAAGUGUCAUUCAAUGUUUCCAAGUCCCACAUGUAUAUCUUGCCUACAUAAAGACAGUAGGGCUAAUCCUCUAGUUUACAAUGACAACCAACCUCUGAUUUAGAUGCAGUUUUUGGAGCUCUUUGUAGGUGCAUUCUGUCUGUGAACGUGCAUAAAAGUUCAGUCUUUGGAUAUAUUUGGCAAAACAAUCUGCCAUGGCAUUUCCUCGGUUAAUCACAUAUCCCAGCUGGCUUCCAAGGCAGGGAUGUGCAUUUGAAUCUUAGACAGAGUUGUCAUUCCUUGGUCAAUCUCAGCUCUUCAUAAUGUAAAAAAAACCUUCAUCUGCAGUGCCAUUUAGUGGGAAUAUGCUCCUUUGGGCUGCUCCUGCCAGAUUAGACCUUUCGUCUCUGGAAGCCGUGCAAUCCAAUUCCCUGAGGAUAAUUGGGGUUACACAACAGGAGGUCAUGGUGAAAGGCAUGCUCCUCUCUCAUCGCAGAUAGGAUGAUGGCUGAACAGUUUUCUAUCGCCUCAUUUCUGGUCUCACCCAAACAAUUCUCUCACAUAUUUGCCUCUCACGAGCCCAAACAAGCCGCACUCGCACAGCGAGAACCCGAAACCUUGUUACCCUCCCCAAAUCCAGGUUAAGUGCUCACUCACCUCCAUCCUUUUAUCCUCCUCUUCUCCGCUACGGAAUCACCUCCCUGAGUCUGUCCAAUCAUGUUCUCUUCGUUCCUUUAAAAUGUCGAGCCAUCACGUCUUAUGGUAUCCCCUAUUCCUUUUCCCAAUCUUUUAAAUUCUCACCAACUCUCCUCUCCUGCCCACAUUUACCCUGUUCGUCAGUUUUAUCCUGUCUGCGAACACGUUCUUUGUCAUCUCAGCCCAUUCACUUCCCUUGUCCCAUAUACGUUCUUGCUCAUGCUGCUUUGUCUUUGUUCCUUCUCCAUCUAUCCAUGCUCCCUUCCAUGCUAACUUAUUCUGCUCUAUUGCUGUAUCGGCAUCACCCCUCUUUCAUUCAGCUCUUCCAUGAGCCUCGAUCUCUGUGAAAAUAAAUAAAUUAUCAAGUAAAUGGUGCCGUGUAUUUUUGCCUUUUCUCCCAACACACCAGAUCAUCCUGUCUCAAGCUUCUGCUAGUGGAAUUUGGUUCUUCCACGAGCUAGUUGAGAACUUAUUGCUGGAGACAAUGUUAUCAUGUCUGGUUCCAGGAUACGUGUGCAUCCUGAUUUGAUUCUCUCUUCUAUUUCCCUGCUUUGUCUUUCUUUUCGAGUCAGGUGGCACAAGAUGCCCACCCCUAACCAUAUAACCCUCUUCGGUCCUAGUUGUGUGUUCAACAUCCUGAGCAUCCACACCAGAGGGCUCUCCGGUUGAUUGGAAAGCAUGAAAAUUUCGAAUGGAAAAUUGUUAAAUUCAUUCAGACGUGGGAGCAUAAUUUUAAUUUUAACAUUCCUCUGUGAUGCACCACAUUAGAGUGCACUUCAUCCUGCACCUCUCAACGUGGCCGCCACAUUUUCCGCACUCUACCCACCUCCACUUCUUUUGUUCAACAAAAUUACCAGUGUUUACACAAAUCAAAUAAACAAAGGAGAACAAAGGAGAAGAUAUCACUCGUGACAUUCACGUUUCAUUUCUUAUUCAUGUGAAACAGUCAGCCGACAGUGCAGUUGGAACCUCAUGAUAAUAAAGAAAUGUUUUUUAAUGAACUUUCCUAGUGGGCUGAGCAAAUUCUAGAUGAGGCCCUAAAGCUGGCUUGUCUUCUUUCAUAUGCAGCACAAGGUUGUGGGGUGGCAUCAUUGGCUGAGGCUGUGGCUGUGCCGCCGAUGCCCUCUAUCGGUUAGGCUAGCAAUUUGGAAUUUGGCCGGGGUGCCGGCGAUGGCUCGCCUUCUCUUCACAAAGAAAACCAUGGAAUCUUUAACGCCAAUCAACUGAUUCUGGCAGACAGGAUGCCCGUUUGACGUCCAUCCGACGGACUGCACACACAUUGAUGAAUCACCCUGAAGCUGGGCCUUUGAUUGUUGCAAGCACUUCUGAGGUUGGUUGUGUUACUUUUCUUUGUAAAUAGCUUGGUACGUGUGAUUAGGCAGUCUUAUUCAAGCUACGCAACGAUGAUACGAUCUUCGCCAUACUUGCUUGUGCUCACACCUUGAUCUCCUGCAAUCUAUCAAGCCUAUCCACCAUAGUCCAUAAACAUCCAUUGUGACUGUAUCUCCACACAUCUUGCGAUUGCUUCACUUCAGUAGGAUCCAUCCAUUGUGCAUGUAUGUAUAAGAUAUCUGUGGAUAACUGAUGAUGUUUUGGGGGGGAAAAUGAUAAUCUCAUUGAUACUGUGAACGUUGCUGUGAAAGGCAUGAAUUCAUAAAAUGGCUUUAAGUCUGCUGUGGCUGUUACAAUCAGUAUCACUGUGACGUAAUAAUAAAUGGAAUUUCACAACCAAGGUCGUUUUUCUUCUUCUU